rnacentral:rRNA from 1 species
AACGAACGCUGGCGGCAUGCCUAACACAUGCAAGUCGAACGAGACCUUCGGGUCUAGUGGCGCACGGGUGCGUAACGCGUGGGAACCUGCCCUUAGGUUCGGAAUAACUCCCCGAAAGGGGUGCUAAUACCGGAUAAUGUCUUCGGACCAAAGAUUUAUCGCCUUUGGAUGGGCCCGCGUUGGAUUAGCUAGUUGGUAGGGUAAAAGCCUACCAAGGCGACGAUCCAUAGCUGGUCUGAGAGGAUGAUCAGCCACACUGGGACUGAGACACGGCCCAGACUCCUACGGGAGGCAGCAGGGGGGAAUAUUGGACAAUGGGCGAAAGCCUGAUCCAGCAAUGCCGCGUGAGUUAUGAAGGCCUUAGGGUUGUAAAGCUUUUUUCCCCGGGAUGAUAAUGACAGGACCGGGAGAAUAAGCCCCGGCUAACUCCGU